GCGGGAAUGGCUCAGUCGGUGGAGCACGACCUUGCCAAGAUCGGGGUCGCGAGUUCGAGUCUCGUUUACGCUCUA
rnacentral:tRNA from 1 species